AUUGAACGCUGGCGGCAUGCCUUACACAUGCAAGUCGAACGGCAGCACGGGUGCUUGCACCUGGUGGCGAGUGGCGAACGGGGGAGUAAUACAUCGGCACAUGUCCUUUAGUGGGGGAUAGCCCGGCGAAAGCCGGAUUAAUACCGCAUACGAACUACGGCUGAAAGCGGGGGCCCUUCGGGCCUCGCCCUUUCGGGUUUGCCGAUGGCUGAUUCGGUUGUUGGUGGGGUAAAGGCCAACCAAGGCCACGACCAGUAGCCGCUAGGAGAGGAGGACCAGCCAAAAGGGAAUUGAGAAACGGUGCAGACCACGACGGGAGGCAGCAGUGGGGAAUAUGGGAGAAGGGGCGCAAGCGUGAUACAGCCAUACCGAGGGGGUGAAGAAGGCCUUCGGGUUGUAAAGCAGUUUUGGUGGGAAAGAAAAGCAGCAGGUGAAUACCCCGCGGGUCUGACGGUACCCAAAGAAUAAGCACCGGCUAAAUUCGGG
rnacentral:rRNA from 1 species